GAUGAACGCUGGCGGCGUGCCUAAUACAUGCAAGUCGAGCGAACAGAUGAGGAGCUUGCUCCUCUGACGUUAGCGGCGGACGGGUGAGUAACACGUGGAUAACCUACCUAUAAGACUGGGAUAACUUCGGGAAACCGGAGCUAAUACCGGAUAAUAUAUUGAACCGCAUGGUUCAAUAGUGAAAUACGGUUUUGCUGUCACUUAUAGAUGGAUCCGCGCCGCAUUAGCUAGUUGGUAAGGUAACGGCUUACCAAGGCAACGAUGCGUAGCCGACCUGAGAGGGUGAUCGGCCACCCUGGAACUGAGACACGGUCCAGACUCCUACGGGAGGCAGCAGUAGGGAAUCUUCCGCAAUGGGCGAAAGCCUGACGGAGCAACGCCGCGUGAGUGACGAAGGUCUUCGGAUCGUAAAACUCUGUUAUUAGGGAAGAACAAAUGUGUAAGUAAAUAUGCACGUCUUGACGGUACCUAAUCAGAAAGCCACGGCUAACUACGUG
rnacentral:rRNA from 1 species